CUUACAAGCCGAAAAGCUAAGCAAAUUGUUAGUGCUUAUAGGUAGAAUAAGAUCAUAUUUGUAGACUGGAAGUAGUGGCAAGUUGUUAUUCUUGGAGGUUUGAGAUUUGUUUUUUCACCUCCUCGGGUUCGUUGAUGAGUUAACUUUUUGUUAUAGCAAAUCUUGUCUCUUGGAUUCUACAUUUUUUCUAACCGAGAAUUUUGUUAAGCUUGCUUGUUCAAAGAUAAAGUUCAUGUCUCGUUGAUGUUAUCAAUGUUGAUCCUCUUGAGAAUAAAAUAUGUGAAAAGAUUUGAUUUUUUUCUUUUGGUUCGCG
rnacentral:lncRNA from 1 species